rnacentral:rRNA from 1 species
AUUGAACGCUGGCGGCAGGCCUAACACAUGCAAGUCGAGCGGAUGAAGGGAGCUUGCUCCUGGAUUCAGCUGCGGACGGGUGAGUAAUUCCUAGGAAUCUGCCUGGUAUUGGGGGAUAACGUCCGGAAACGGGCGCUAAUACCGCAUACGUCCUGAUGGAGAACGUGGGGGAUCUUCGGACCUCACGCUAUCAGAUGAGCCUAGGUCGGAUUAGCUAGUUGGUGGGGUAAAGGCCUACCAAGGCGACGAUCCGUAACUGGUCUGAGAGGAUGAUCAGUCACACUGGAACUGAGACACGGUCCAGACUCCUACGGGAGGCAGCAGUGGGGAAUAUUGGACAAUGGGCGAAAGCCUGAUCCAGCCAUGCCGCGUGUGUGAAGAAGGUCUUCGGAUUGUAAAGCACUUUAAGUUGGGAGGAAGGGAAGUAAGUUAAUACCUUGCUGUUUUGACGUUACCAAAAGAAUAAGCACCGGCUAACUUCGUG